rnacentral:tRNA from 1 species
GCCCAUGUAGUUUAACCAAAAAUUUAACACUGAAGAUGUUAAGAUAGACCGUAGAAAGUCUCGUGAGCA